ACUCCUGCGGGAGGCAGCAGUGGGGAAUAUUGGACAAUGGGCGCAAGCCUGAUCCAGCCAUGCCGCGUGAGUGAUGAAGGCCCUAGGGUUGUAAAGCUCUUUCACCGGUGAAGAUAAUGACGGUAACCGGAGAAGAAGCCCCGGCUAACUUCGUGCCAGCAGCCGCGGUAAUACGAAGGGGGCUAGCGUUGUUCGGAUUUACUGGGCGUAAAGCGCACGUAGGCGGACUAUUAAGUCAGGGGUGAAAUCCCGGGGCUCAACCCCGGAACUGCCUUUGAUACUGGUAGUCUUGAGUUCGAGAGAGGUGGGUGGAAUUCCGAGUGUAGAGGUGAAAUUCGUAGAUAUUCGGAGGAACACCAGUGGCGAAGGCGGCUCACUGGCUCGAUACUGACGCUGAGGUGCGAAAGCGUGGGGAGCAAACAGGAUUAGAUACCCCGGUAGUCCCAUGA
rnacentral:rRNA from 1 species